AUACGGAGGGUGCAAGCGUUGUCCGGAUUUAUUGGGUUUAAAGGGUGCGUAGGUGGCGUGUAAAGUCAGUGGUGAAAGCCUGCAGCUCAACUGUAGAGGUGCCAUUGAUACUGACAUGCUUGAGUAUGGAUGAGGUAGGCGGAAUUUGUGGUGUAGCGGUGAAAUGCAUAGAUACCACAAAGAACACCGAUAGCGAAGGCAGCUUACUGGACCAUGACUGACACUGAGGCACGAAAGUGUGGGUAGCGAACAGGAUUAGAAACCCCAGUAGUCC
rnacentral:rRNA from 1 species